CAUUUGGAAAUUAAAGAGGAGCAAAGCAAAGCUUUGGGAUCCCUCUCUACCCACCGGCAACAUCUGGAGUUGAACCCUGGCGUGGUGAGGAAGCUGACACGGGUCACCAUAAGCUGCUUAACACAUGAGCAUUUACCACACUGAGGAGAGAAGGUCGGAACCCUGCCGGAGACAAAGACAUGGGUCUGCAUCUCCUCCAGCUGCUCCCAGAACCUGGCCUGGACCCGAUAACACUGAAGGUCCAUGCAUACAUUAGGCGCUUGGGUUGAGAUGCCAGGAGCCUCCGAAAUGUGACACACAGUCAACUCUUCACCGUUCCAAGAGUCAGGCCCUGGCUGCCAGGCUGGCCGGCUGGCCGGCUGCUGACCUCCCCUUAGCGUCUUCCUACUGAUGGUUCACUGUCCUCUCAGGCAGGGAGCUUCCGGCUUCCUCCUCAGCCUGCAGCAACCUGCCCCUCCCUCCUGAUGGCCCAGACUGACCCAUCCGGGACCUGACUGUGGGAACCAGUCCCAGGAUCAGCUCUGGGCCCUUGCCUCAGAGAUUGUUACAAAGAGAGAGAACCCCCCUCCCUCCCACACACACUCAGCCAAGGGAAAGGGACACCCCAAGGCCAAAAGCGCUGAAGUCCCUUGGUUAGGUUGGUCUGGCUGGACCCUUGGCCAACCCCCCCACACCCUACCCCCACUGCAUUCUCAGGCCUCAGCCGUGCCCUGCCUUCCUGGACUCCCCCAAACCGAGUGAGUGACCCAGCCUUGUGUACAUUUCCCUCUGGAAGCGAAUUUGAGCUAAACCACAGUGACCCCCAUGCAGGAGAGGCUGAGACUAUACCACAUCUGGGUCCACACUGAGCCUGUGGCAUCAGAAUCCCAGUGAUAGCAGAGCUGUGAACCUGAGUGUGGUUGUACACUCACAUCAUCCAGAGCCUUGGCAGGCAGAUGUGAGCAGAUCUCUAUGAGUUGGAGAGCCAGCCUGGUCUGCAGGCGUUCCUAAUCCCACCUGACUGAGAAGAGUGACCAGCGGACCUAAGGCUCUCUUCUGGCCUACAUAGACGCCUGCUCUCACAUGCAAAAAAAAGCCCACCCCUACAUGUCUAAACACAAAUAAAAUCAUUUAUAAACAAUAUAAAUAAAAUAAACAAAACUAAAAU
rnacentral:lncRNA from 1 species